rnacentral:tRNA from 1 species
GCCGACGUAGCUCAGUUGGUAGAGCAACGGUUUUGUAAACCGUGGGUCGGGGGUUCGAAUCCCUCCGUCGGCUCCA